rnacentral:rRNA from 1 species
CCCUGGCAGUCAGAGGCGAUGAAGGACGUGCUAAUCUGCGAUAAGCGUCGGUAAGGUGAUAUGAACCGUUAUAACCGGCGAUUUCCGAAUGGGGAAACCCAGUGUGUUUCGACACACUAUCAUUAACUGAAUCCAUAGGUUAAUGAGGCGAACCGGGGGAACUGAAACAUCUAAGUACCCCGAGGAAAAGAAAUCAACCGAGAUUCCCCCAGUAGCGGCGAGCGAACGGGGAGCAGCCCAGAGCCUGAAUCAGUGUGUGUGUUAGUGGAAGCGUCUGGAAAGGCGCGCGAUACAGGGUGACAGCCCCGUACACAAAAAUGCACAUACUGUGAGCUCGAUGAGUAGGGCGGGACACGUGGUAUCCUGUCUGAAUAUGGGGGGACCAUCCUCCAAGGCUAAAUACUCCUGACUGACCGAUAGUGAACCAGUACCGUGAGGGAAAGGCGAAAAGAACCCCGGCGAGGGGAGUGAAAAAGAACCUGAAACCGUGUACGUACAAGCAGUGGGAGCCUCUUAAUGGGGUGACUGCGUACCUUUUGUAUAAUGGGUCAGCGACUUAUAUUCUGUAGCAAGGUUAACCGAAUAGGGGAGCCGAAGGGAAACCGAGUCUUAACUGGGCGUUAAGUUGCAGGGUAUAGACCCGAAACCCGGUGAUCUAGCCAUGGGCAGGUUGAAGGUUGGGUAACACUAACUGGAGGACCGAACCGACUAAUGUUGAAAAAUUAGCGGAUGACUUGUGGCUGGGGGUGAAAGGCCAAUCAAACCGGGAGAUAGCUGGUUCUCCCCGAAAGCUAUUUAGGUAGCGCCUCGUGAAUUCAUCUCCGGGGGUAGAGCACUGUUUCGGCAAGGGGGUCAUCCCGACUUACCAACCCGAUGCAAACUGCGAAUACCGGAGAAUGUUAUCACGGGAGACACACGGCGGGUGCUAACGUCCGUCGUGAAGAGGGAAACAACCCAGACCGCCAGCUAAGGUCCCAAAGUCAUGGUUAAGUGGGAAACGAUGUGGGAAGGCCCAGACAGCCAGGAUGUUGGCUUAGAAGCAGCCAUCAUUUAAAGAAAGCGUAAUAGCUCACUGGUCGAGUCGGCCUGCGCGGAAGAUGUAACGGGGCUAAACCAUGCACCGAAGCUGCGGCAGCGACACUAUGUGUUGUUGGGUAGGGGAGCGUUCUGUAAGCCUGUGAAGGUGUACUGUGAGGUAUGCUGGAGGUAUCAGAAGUGCGAAUGCUGACAUAAGUAACGAUAAAGCGGGUGAAAAGCCCGCUCGCCGGAAGACCAAGGGUUCCUGUCCAACGUUAAUCGGGGCAGGGUGAGUCGACCCCUAAGGCGAGGCCGAAAGGCGUAGUCGAUGGGAAACAGGUUAAUAUUCCUGUACUUGGUGUUACUGCGAAGGGGGGACGGAGAAGGCUAUGUUGGCCGGGCGACGGUUGUCCCGGUUUAAGCGUGUAGGCUGGUUUUCCAGGCAAAUCCGGAAAAUCAAGGCUGAGGCGUGAUGACGAGGCACUACGGUGCUGAAGCAACAAAUGCCCUGCUUCCAGGAAAAGCCUCUAAGCAUCAGGUAACAUCAAAUCGUACCCCAAACCGACACAGGUGGUCAGGUAGAGAAUACCAAGGCGCUUGAGAGAACUCGGGUGAAGGAACUAGGCAAAAUGGUGCCGUAACUUCGGGAGAAGGCACGCUGAUAUGUAGGUGAAGUCCCUUGCGGAUGGAGCUGAAAUCAGUCGAAGAUACCAGCUGGCUGCAACUGUUUAUUAAAAACACAGCACUGUGCAAACACGAAAGUGGACGUAUACGGUGUGACGCCUGCCCGGUGCCGGAAGGUUAAUUGAUGGGGUUAGCGGUAACGCGAAGCUCUUGAUCGAAGCCCCGGUAAACGGCGGCCGUAACUAUAACGGUCCUAAGGUAGCGAAAUUCCUUGUCGGGUAAGUUCCGACCUGCACGAAUGGCGUAAUGAUGGCCAGGCUGUCUCCACCCGAGACUCAGUGAAAUUGAACUCGCUGUGAAGAUGCAGUGUACCCGCGGCAAGACGGAAAGACCCCGUGAACCUUUACUAUAGCUUGACACUGAACAUUGAGCCUUGAUGUGUAGGAUAGGUGGGAGGCUUUGAAGUGUGGACGCCAGUCUGCAUGGAGCCGGCCUUGAAAUACCACCCUUUAAUGUUUGAUGUUCUAACGUUGGCCCCUGAUCGGGGUUGCGGACAGUGUCUGGUGGGUAGUUUGACUGGGGCGGUCUCCUCCUAAAGAGUAACGGAGGAGCACGAAGGUUGGCUAAUCCUGGUCGGACAUCAGGAGGUUAGUGCAAUGGCAUAAGCCAGCUUGACUGCGAGCGUGACGGCGCGAGCAGGUGCGAAAGCAGGUCAUAGUGAUCCGGUGGUUCUGAAUGGAAGGGCCAUCGCUCAACGGAUAAAAGGUACUCCGGGGAUAACAGGCUGAUACCGCCCAAGAGUUCAUAUCGACGGCGGUGUUUGGCACCUCGAUGUCGGCUCAUCACAUCCUGGGGCUGAAGUAGGUCCCAAGGGUAUGGCUGUUCGCCAUUUAAAGUGGUACGCGAGCUGGGUUUAGAACGUCGUGAGACAGUUCGGUCCCUAUCUGCCGUGGGCGCUGGAGAACUGAGGGGGGCUGCUCCUAGUACGAGAGGACCGGAGUGGACGCAUCACUGGUGUUCGGGUUGUCAUGCCAAUGGCACUGCCCGGUAGCUAAAUGCGGAAGAGAUAAGUGCUGAAAGCAUCUAAGCACGAAACUUGCCCCGAGAUGAGUUCUCCCUGACUCCUUGAGAGUCCUGAAGGAACGUUGAAGACGACGACGUUGAUAGGCCGGGUGUGUAAGCGCAGCGAUGCGUUGAGCUAACCGGUACUAAUGAACCGUGAGGCUUAACCUUACAACGCCGAAGGUGUUU